UACAGAGGUCUCAAGCGUUGUUCGGAUUCACUGGGCGUAAAGGGUGCGCAGGCGGCCAAGUGUGUUAGGCGUGAAAGCCCGGGGCUUAACCCCGGAAUUGCACCUAAAACUACAUGGCUAGAGCAUUGGAGAGGGUAGCAGAAUUCAUGGUGUAGCAGUGAAAUGCGUAGAUAUCAUGAGGAAUACCAGAGGCGAAGGCGGCUACCUGGACAAUUGCUGACGCUCAGGCACGAAAGCGUGGGGAGCAAAAGGG
rnacentral:rRNA from 1 species